AAGUCGUAACAAGGUUUCCGUAGGUGAACCUGCGGAAGGAUCAUUAAAGAAUAUCGAGCCCUCACAGCUCUUAUUCACCCUUUGUAUCCAAACUUGUUGUUUGGCAGCGCCUUUAGGGCCUGCCAGAGGACCGAAACCCAGAAUCUCUGCCGUCUGAGUACUAUAUAGUAGUUAAAA
rnacentral:misc_RNA from 1 species